GCUCGAUCGGCUCAACGCCCCGCACUCCCCUCACCCCCACCCCAGGGCUCCGGGCCCUGUUAACACUUCAAACACUCAAUUUCUUCAGCAAACACAAAGGAGCAGGCCAUCCUCUGCACAUAUGGAUCUCCCAAAGGAGCCCGAACACAAUUCCCACUUGUACCAUCUCCUGCAGGACCAGAAGCCCACGCGCCUCGAGGUCGGCAGCAAAUAACAUUAGCUCACUGUUCGCUCAAGCCGCUACAAAGCCAGGAGAGAGAGAGAGGAAGAGAGAGCGAGACAGAUAGAGAGCAACCAUCGUCGGAGUGGGCCUACAGCCAACCGGGAUGGAGUCCGGGUGGGGACCUGCGCAGAUGGGGGAACGCCGUCCGAGAGUCCUCCUGUCUGACCAGCAAUGGGCCGUCCGCCAUCUUGUUUCCGACCAGAGAGGUUCAGCCGGCUUCAGCGAUCGCUAAAAGACGGAAACACGGACUAGCUGAACAUGAUGACUACAUAUUUUACUCAUGA
rnacentral:lncRNA from 1 species